CCCCCCUUAGUGGGAGAGUUGCCACCGGAUCCCAUAAGAACUCCAGAGUUAAGCGUGCUCGAGUGGGAGUAGUCCCUCGGAUGGGUGACCUCCCUGGGUACGUGUGCAUGCGUUGCAAGACGCUUGCUGUGCAUGUG